AACGUAUUGUAGUAGCACACCUGUCCUGUUGCUAAUUUCAUUCUCUUUCUCUUGGUGAUAUGUAGCCGAACUUCUGGAUGAAAAUGACGAAAUGCUUCACCCUAUAACUUUUCCUUGGGAAAAACUCACUCAAUUUCAAAGGCUUAUCUUGAUUAAAAUUCUUCGGCCAGACCGUUUAGAAAGUUCAAUAAAAAAAUUUAUAACUGAAAAAAUGGGAAGUGAAUAUAUCCCCGAUACUACAAUUAAUCUGAAAGAGUCAUUUAGCGAGUCUACUGCUCAAACACCACUGAUCCUCACCUGCUCCUACGGGAUUGACCUCAACAAUCUUCUUCUGAGAUUUGCACAAGAGUUCAAAGGAACGACACCGCAGGUGACCAUGAUUUCCCUGGGCCGAGACCAGGCGACCAAAGCGGAGCAACUCAUUUUUAAGGCAGUGAAAAAAAAGCACCAGUGGGUCUUCCUCCAGAACUGCCACCUCGCAGCGUCCUUCAUGCCAAGACUCACUGCCAUCAUAGACUCAUUUAGUAGUCCAGAUAUGGUGCUAGAUCCUGACUUUAGGCUCUGGCUGAGCUCAAGAGCCUAUGGCUUUUUCCCAAUUACGAUUCUUCAGAAGGGCGUGAAGAUUGCUGUGGAACCUCCCCAGGGAUUGAAAAGCAAUUUACUUCAAAUGUUUGGCUAUGGUGGAAGUGGAGAGGUGACAGAAGAGGUGUUUGAUAAGCCUGAUUGUGGACCAUGGUGGAAAAAAAUUCUCUUCAGCCUCUGUCUUUUCAGUGCUGUGCUCAAUGAAAGGAAAGCGUAUGGAACACUGGGCUGGAACAUCCCUUACCAAUUCAGUUCCUCAGACCUGGAGGUGUCCAUAAAGGUGCUCGCAAAUGUCCUCUCCGGUCAGUCAGAAGUCCCAUGGAAGGAAGUGAACUACCUGAUCUCGGAAGUGACCUACGGUGGCCGGGUGACUGAUGAAUGGGACAAGCGAUGCCUGAAGGCUCUUUUCUACAAAUUCUGCAAUCCUGAAAUACUAAAGGAUAACUUCAGUUUCUCUAGCAAUGUGAUGUACCAAGCAGUGCCCAGCUCCGCAAGCUUAAAGGACUGCAUCAGCAUUAUCCAGUCCUUUCCAGAUGAUGACUCUCCCGAAAUAUUAGGAAUCCAUCCCGAAGCCACAUACACCUGCAAUGAGAUCAAGGCCCAGAAAUACAUUGAAAAUCUCAUCUGUAUGCAACCAAAAGAUGCCCCAGGCACCCCCAUGAUCAACCCGGAACAGAGCAAUGAUGACCUAGUGAUGGAGAUCCUAUCUGACAUAAUGAUGCAGUUGCCCCUGACGGUGGAGAAUGAGGAAGUUUCCGGACUUGAAAACCAAUGCACUUUCAAAUUCAUUAUGUCAAGUCCAAUGUGGGAGAAGCUUCAUGAAAAUAUUCAAGGAUAUGAUCCCCUUAUCCACUCUGUCUUGAUCCCCUUCCUGAAAAAUGAAAUAGAACGUUUCAACAAGUUAUUGUCUGUCAUACAUAAAUCCUUAAAGGACCUUCAGCUCUCUAUAAAGGGAGAGAGCAUCCUCACUCCGGACCUGGAGGAGACCUAUGACUCCUUCCUUCGGGCCAGAGUGCCCAUGCUGUGGCAGAAGAAUGCCUACAAAUCCUGCAGGCCCCUGAGCUUUUGGGUGAGCAACCUCAUCCAACGAGUGAACUUCUUCAACACCUGGGCCAAAGUGGCCUACACCACCAUACACCAUCGGUACAUGAUGUUCAUCACAACCUGGAAACGGCUUGGCCAGAAAUCCAAACACUACCCUGACUCUGGGAGCGAAGUCACUGAGGGUUUUCCUGCACGAUACUGGCUGUCUGCUUUCUUCUCUCCACAAGCUUUUCUUACUGCCGUGCUUCAAGACUAUGGAAGGGCCCAAGGAAUCUCCAUGGAUGCCCUCACUUUCACUCACAAAGUAAUUUAUAAUAGUGAUGGCAGCCAAGAGGAUGACCUCUCCAAAUUUCUCCAGAAGAGGCUCAACAUAGUCAAGAGAGCUUUCCAGCAACACCAAGAGCACCAUCACGAAGGAGUCUACAUUUUUGGUUUGUACAUUGAGGGAGCACGAUGGGAUCCGCAACAGGAAGUGCUGGAAGACGCACUGCCCGCUCAGCUGUGCUGCGAAUUCCCUGACAUCCACUUCUUGCCAACAAAGAUUACUGAAAUACCUGAGGAUUCCGACCAGUCAGAACUGCAAACUUUUGAAUGUCCAGUUUACUACACACCUGAGAGGACAAGAAACGCUACUGGUUUACCGACAAGUCUUUUGACAUCAGUGCAUUUACCGACGAAGAAGCCUCCGAGCCACUGGAUCACCAUGCAGGUCGCACUGCUAUGUGAGAAGAAUGAAUGAAUAAAUAUGCAUACCAAACUGCUUAAGGUUGCGCUCUACCUCCACGGCCUGCGUCAGGGCAGCAUGCACAUAUGGGGAAUAGCACGUGCCUAGCCAGACUUGGCAGGUGUGUGGGAGACUUCGCCAGGUGAGCAGUGUCUGUGGUAAAGGAACACAGAUGCUUCAACUAUUAAUACACAUUUGCUGUAAAUGCGUUACAGAACUUGGUAGGUUUUGUUUUGCUUUUUAAGAUGUAUUUAUUAUGAGUACACUGUCGCUCUCUUCACACACACCAGAAGAGAGCAUCAAAUCUCCUUACAGAUGGUUGUGAGCCACCAUGUGGUUGCUGGGAAUUGAACUCAGGACCUCUGGAAGAGCAGUCAGUGCUCUUAACCACUGAGCCAUCUCUCCAGCCCUCCGCACUUGGUGUUCUUAAAUACCAAAUAGUAAACACAGUCAGUUUUUAGGAGUUGGGAGUUCUACCCCUAACCCCUCAGAUUCCACUGUUGGGAUUUUGUUUUGUUAAGACUAAGAUUCACUCUCCAGCCCAGGAUGACCUCAAAUCCAUGAAGAGCCUCCUGACCCAACCUCUUUGGACGGUCACAAGAGUUGGCUCAGGAUCUAGAAUCUUUGCUUGCUAUAAACCUGCUGGUCAAGUCUCUGGGUACCUACAGUUCAGAAAGACUCAAAAAAGAAAACAAAACAAAAACAAAAAAAUCCAGUGAUCCCAAAGCUGUGGCAAAGAGAAAUGAGGCUCUAACAGCAGCUCUUUAUUUUCAACUUUUUGUUUCUGACCAAAAUUUUAUUAUAAAACUUGCCAAAGAUCAUAUUAAAAACAACUUGCACCUGAUAUCCAGAUAUGGUGGCACUGCCCUGGCCCGCCCUAUCACUACCAGGCAAAGAGCCCAAAGUCUUACCCAAAGUUUCCUUCUAAGCUGCUGGGCACACACCAUGUUGAUACCAGAAGAGAGAGCACGAUAGCAAACCCCCAUGAACACCUUAGUACUAUUGAACAAUGACACUGUCAUAAACAGUAAAGAGUUACAGAAUGCAGAGUGACACGUCGCAAUUACAUGAGCACAGCUUCUUUGCGUAUACUCUAAGCUACAGGACAGGAUGAACACUGCAUCUGGCUCAUAUGUGAUAUGUGCAGGAGAAACAAACCCACACGUAUACACUGUAUGUGUAUGCAUCCUUAGGUUCUGAGGACANGGUAGCUGGGGUAUAUUCGGUGAAUAUAAGCAAAAGAAUGGGAUUCUUGUGAACUCCAAUGAGCCCC
rnacentral:lncRNA from 14 species